GCCUUUGUUCCCCAUCUAGAAAAAGGGAUAAAGCUUAUUUGUAUGUUACAGGCUGUGAUAAAAGAGAGUGGGGAUAGCUUCCUUUUGUGGACACCCAGCCAGCCAGUUAGCUAUAAAAUCCCUCUUAGUAGCUGUUCUCUACUUGCUUUACUUGUAAAGGAUU